ensembl:lncRNA
CUUAUCUCUUGCAAGUGCACAAUGUCUCUCUCUCUGUGUGUGUGUGUGUGUGUGUGUGGAUUCUGGGAAAUGUAGUUCGUGACGAGGAGUGACCGUGUUAUACAUUUACUUUGGCUGCAUGUUUUUGUUUGGCUUCUGAAGUAGAGCAAAGACUUGUGUAUUAUUAUUCCCUGAUCUAAUAACCUAUUCUUUCAUUGAUAAAAGCACUGGUUUUUAUACCGAAAUGCCAUGUGUCUUUUCAAGUAUAGAUGAAAGUGAAAGUAAUUUUCCUGGCUUAAUAUAGAGCUGCUCUCAGAAGACAAGACAUUCCCUGAAAAACUUUCAGAAAAAGCUAUAGGGACAGUAAAAAUAAAUAGACAUAUUUAUUAUUUAUCAAUGGAUAAAGAGGAUCAGUUUGAAUUUAAGGCCACAGAGAUCCCUCAAAAGCCAUGCACAGACAUGCUGAAGGAGGCCUAUCUGAACCUGCUCUCUCUGCGCCUGGAAUUCCAGCGUGAACAGAGCACUCCGGAGGAAGGAGCUUUCCAAACGAAUCUGGUUAAUAAAGAGAAAGACCUCAGUCUGCUCUAUGGAGCACAAAAUGUUUGUUAUUGUACACAGCUCCAGUGCUCUGCCCUCACGCAAUAAAGAUCUGCUGGUGUAUGUAGCACACAUUAUCCUGGAGGAAGAGAAGAGGCAGGGAGAGCCAGGAGCGAUGCAGGGAUGGAGGGAAGCAUGGAGGGAUGCAGUACUAAACGGGGUUCAAGAUACACUGGAGAAAGUUCAUCUGGACAGCCAUGAGCAGAACGCUUCCUGGCUGGCAGUGCAUCUGGGGCUUCUGGGUAAAGCUGUGGAGGAGGAUUUAGAGAGAGUGAAGACUGAACAUCAGACUUUAUUGUGUUUGAAACCUAUGUGUCCUGCUAUCAUGAGGCUGUAGGAGAGCAUCUAAAGAGACUUCUGGAAAAGGUGAUAGAGUGAAAGAUUACUAUGCUCUUCUAGAGUUCAUUAUUCAUCGCUACCCCAUUGAUCUGAGAGUCCAUGAGAGUGCCCUUAUAAUGGCAGAGGACCGGAACAAAAUAAAAACUUCUUACUGUGAUUGCCAAUUGGGACCAUCCUUAAAAUGGCUUUAUCCACUGGGAGAUUACCUUAGCAACAUUAUUGGAAUGGAAAAUGAGAAAAAUAUAAAAGAUAUGCACUGGUUAGUAAUUACCCAGACAUCAGGUAAGUGUUAUAGGAACUUUGAAUAUAUUGCUAUUUUUACAACAAUACAUGUUUUGUACACUUAACUAUUACAUGUAGUAUAGUUAUCAUGUAUUUAACUUUUCAUUUCUAGCAAGAAGCAGUUGUCAGCUGUUCUGUCCUUCAGAGACAAUGGUUUAAACUUUGAGAGUGACAAGAAGUGACAAGAAUCUGAUCACAUCACUGUACUGCCUUACUUAAGGAUACUUUAUAAAUACAUAUAUUUAUAUGUAUAUAGGCUGACAUGUAUUCUAAGUAUCUAAGUAUCACACUAUUAUGUUUACAGAGAUUCUCUUGGCCAUUCGGAUGCUUCGGGAACCAUCAGGAACUAUAAACAAUUGCAUUAUUUUAUGAGGCUACUUGUGCUAUUUGCCUCUAACCAUCCAUUAUUUUUUUAGCAAGAAUUUAACCAUUUAACUAUUAUUGUGCAGCCUUAUUUUGGUGUAUGUUUUGGUUGUUUGUACGUAUAUUUUCCAACAGAGGGAGACAUUAAACUAUAGAUGCAAAUUUCGCAUUUCCUCCAUAUUGCCUAAUCAUGCAUAAAGAGACUUGGUGGAUUCAGUCUAUCUACUGUUAUAUCAAUCAAUCAUCUAAAUGUGAAUUAUAAAACACAAUGCUGGACAAAACUGAGUGUGUGCUGUGCAAUAUUAACUCCAGGUGGACUCAGCUCUUGCAACAAAACCUAUUGGUUGGUUAUUCAUAUUUUGUCCCUCCCUCUUCUCUUGUUUAAUGCAAAUUUAAAAUUUUGCCUAAACCUAACAUUCUCUCUGAUUUUUAUCAAUGAACAAAACAUGUAGAUAAAAUUCAUUUUCACCGCUACAGUGUGUUAUUGAACAGAUAUUUACUUUUACAUACUUUCGCAAUGUUUUGGGGAUAUUUAUACAGAUAUUGAUGUGAGAUGCCAUCUUUGUUUACAUAAUCAUGUUUGAUUUUGUUUUAAUGACUUAACUAUAUGAGGUGGUGAAUUUAUUAAUGAAAUAAUUAUUAAACAUUUUACACAUUUCCACAUGCAAA